CUUACACAUGCAAGUCGAGCGGGCGUAGCAAUACGUCAGCGGCAGACGGGUGAGUAACGCGUGGGAACGUACCUUUUGGUUCGGAACAACCCAGGGAAACUUGGACUAAUACCGGAUAAGCCCUUACGGGGAAAGAUUUAUCGCCGAAAGAUCGGCCCGCGUCUGAUUAGCUAGUUGGUGAGGUAAUGGCUCACCAAGGCGACGAUCAGUAGCUGGUCUGAGAGGAUGAUCAGCCACAUUGGGACUGAGACACGGCCCAAACUCCUACGGGAGGCAGCAGUGGGGAAUAUUGGACAAUGGGCGCAAGCCUGGUCCAGCCAUGCCGCGUGAGUGAUGAAGGCCCUAGGGUUGUAAAGCUCUUUUGUGCGGGAAGAUAAUGACGGUACCGCAAGAAUAAGCCCCGGCUAACUUCGUGCCAGCAGCCGCGGUAAUACGAAGGGGGCUAGCGUUGCUCGGAAUCACUGGGCGUAAAGGGUGCGUANGCGGGUCUUUAAGUCAGGGGUGAAAUCCUGGAGCUCAACUCCAGAACUGGCUUUGAUACUGAAGAUCUUGA
rnacentral:rRNA from 1 species